rnacentral:rRNA from 1 species
UACGGGGGGUGCAAGCGUUGUUCGGAAUCACUGGGUGUAAAGGGCAGGUAGGCGGGCCGAAAAGUCGGGUGUGAAAACCCCGUGGCUUAACCCGGGGCCGGCAUUCGAAACUUUCGGUCUUGAGUGCGGGAGAGGGAGAUGGAAUUCCUGGUGUAACGGUGAAAUGUGUAGAUAUCAGGAGGAACACCGGUGGCGAAGGCGGUCUCCUGGCCCGCAACUGACGCUGAUCUGCGAAAGCUAGGGUAGCAAACAGG